rnacentral:rRNA from 1 species
ACGGGGUGCNNCNGGCGAGAAACCUUUGCAAUAUGCGCAAGCACGACAAGGUUAAUCCGAGUGUUUCCUGCUAAAGGAAUCUUUUGUUANUUCUAAAACCACUAAUGAAUAAGGGGUGGGCAAGUUCUGGUGUCAGCCGCCGCGGUAAAACCAGCACCUCAAGUGGUCAGGAGGAUUAUUGGGCCUAAAGCAUCCGUAGCCUGUUCUAUAAGUUUCCGGUUAAAUCCAUUAGCUCAACUAAUGGGCUGCCGAAAAUACUGUGGAACUAGGGAGUGGGAGAGGUAGACGGUACUCGGUAGGAAGGGGUAAAAUCCUUUGAUCUAUUGAUGACCACCUGUGGCGAAGGCGGUCUACCAGAACACGUUCGACGGUGAGGGAUGAAAGCUGGGGGAGCAAACCGGAUUAGAUACCCGGGUAGUCCCAGCUGUAAACGAUGCAGACUCGGUGAUGCGCUGGCUUGUGGCCAGUGCAGUGCCGCAGGGAAGCCGUUAAGUUUGCCGCCUGGGAAGUACGUACGCAAGUAUGAAACUUAAAGGAAUUGGCGGGGGAGCAC